AAUACAUAUACCAACCGACAAUUUUCACCGAGUAAUUACCAACAAAAAUUUUUACCCAACCGGCAAUAUACCAAAAAUUUUUCAGAACCACCCAGCACAAAAAACCAUACCCAGAAUGCUGGUAAAUCUGCAAAAUCAAACCUCAACUGUCAAUAAGCCACCAUCCAGUGUGCAAAACCAGGCUCAAAGUUCAGAAAUUUCUUAUAAAGAUUAAAUUUUGAAGGCGAAUCAUACCUCAUUUGUCAAUAAGGCACCAUCCAGUGUGAAGAACCAAACUCAAAGUUCGGAAAUUUUUGUUAAAGAUCAAAACUUGAAGGCAAAUCAGAGUGAUGCACCUGCUAGCAAGAGCACUAAUUCAAGCUCAUUGGUGAAGGAUGGAGUGGCAUCGAAUGA
rnacentral:lncRNA from 1 species